rnacentral:rRNA from 1 species
UAGCCGUAAACGAUACUCGCUAGGUGUCGGCCACGGUGCGACUGUUGUCGGUGCCGUAGGGAAGCCGUGAAGCGAGCCACCUGGGAAGUACGGCCGCAAGGCUGAAACUUAAAGGAAUUGGCGGGGGAGCACAACAACGGGUGGAGCUUGCGGUUUAAUUGGAUUCAACGCCGGAAAUCUUACCGGGACCGACAGCAACAUGAAGGCCAAGCUGAAGACUUUGCCGGAUUAGCUGAGAGGAGGUGCAUGGCGUAGUCGUGU